rnacentral:rRNA from 1 species
AUUGAACGCUGGCGGCAGGCCUAACACAUGCAAGUCGAGCGAGCGGCGGACGGGUGAGUAAUGUAUGGGGACUGCCCGAUAGAGGGGGAUAACUACUGGAAACGGUGGCUAAUACCGCAUACUAUCGGAUAACCCAUAUGGGAUUAGCUAGUAGGUGGGGUAAAGGCUCACCUAGGCGACGAUCUCUAGCUGGUCUGAGAGGAUGAUCGGCGACACUAGGACGGCAACACAGCCAAGACGCCUAAGAAGGCGGCAGUGGGGGAUAUUGCACAAUGGGCGAAAGCGUGAUGCAGCGACGCCGCGUGGGGGAUGAAGGCUUUCGGGUUGUAAAACUCUUUCGCUAUCGAACGGGUAGGUGGAGAAGAAGCGCCGGCUAACUACGUGCCAGCAGCCGCGGUAAUAC